GUUUAUGGACGGUCUGUCGGCGCGUGUGUCCCUGCCCCAAGCAUAUGGCCAGGGUCACAGGUCAUCAUACCCUCAGCCAUGACCAUCAGUGAAACCUUGCAAGAGGACUUCAGGCAGAUUGUUCUGACAAAAUGCACCUCUGGAGAAAGUGCUGGAAGAAACCCUGGCAAAGACAAGGCAGAAUGGGCGGUGGACGCGCCGGUGCUGGCCGUGGCCGGCGGCGCCUCGUCGUU